GACGAACGCUGGCGGCGUGCCUAAUACAUGCAAGUCGAGCGGACUGAUUAAGAGCUUGCUCUUAUGACGUUAGCGGCGGACGGGUGAGUAACACGUGGGCAACCUGCCCUGUAGAUCGGGAUAACACCGAGAAAUCGGUGCUAAUACCGGGUAAUAUCUGAGAUCACAUGAUCUUAGGUUAAAAGAUGGCUCCGGCUAUCACUACAGGAUGGGCCCGCGGCGCAUUAGCUAGUUGGUAAGGUAAUGGCUUACCAAGGCGACGAUGCGUAGCCGACCUGAGAGGGUGAUCGGCCACACUGGGCCUGAGACACGGCCCAGACUCCUACGGGAGGCAGCAGUAGGGAAUCUUCCGCAAUGGACGAAAGUCUGACGGAGCAACGCCGCGUGAGUGAUGAAGGGUUUCGGCUCGUAAAGCUCUGUUGUUAGGGAAGAAACAGUACCGAACGAACUAGGUCGGUACCUUGACGGUACCUAACCAGAAAGCCACGGCUAACUACGUG
rnacentral:rRNA from 1 species